CAGGAUUCAAUUUUAAGUCACAUUCUCCCAGAGACUGCACAUCUUACAAGAAAUCACUAAAAGUUACAGACAUAUCCUCCUCUCCUGAGGUUUCAUCAGAAAUGGCUCAUCAUUGCAUUUUGUGUACUACACACAUGGCAGAAGGCCUCUACCAAAUAUGGCACCUG
rnacentral:lncRNA from 1 species